rnacentral:ncRNA from 1 species
UAUUUUCAGGGCAGGGUGUAAUUCCCGACCGGCGGUGAAAGUCCGCUACUCCGAAAGGAUUGAAUCGGUGAAAUUCCGAUACCGACAGUAUAGUCUGGAUGGAAGAAGAU